UUAAGUUUUAAAAUUACUAAAGAUUUUUUGCUCAACAAGCUAAUUUGCAAUGACUCCUCCCCAACUCUUACUCCAUACGUCCGCGAAGUGCAUAACGGUAAGGUGUCACCUAAAUAUCCAAGUUUGGGUACACGGGGAAACCCACCCCGUUGGGCAGAUAGACGGCAAGGCCGAAUUUUAAUGGG
rnacentral:ribozyme from 1 species